CCCCCCCCCCCCCCGUCCCAAAAUUCUUGUCUUAAAUUUGUCUACAUAUGGAUGUAUCUAAUACUAAAACGUAACUAGAUACAUCCAAAUUUAGACAAAUCUAAGACAAGAAUUUUGAGACGGAGGGAGUAUAAG
rfam:Triticum aestivum genome assembly, contig: Triticum_aestivum_CS42_TGACv1_scaffold_569720_7AS